GACGAACGCUGGCGGCGUGCUUAACACAUGCAAGUCGAACGGAAAGGCCCUGCUUUUGUGUGGUGCUCGAGUGGCGAACGGGUGAGUAACACGUGAGUAACCUGCCCUUGACUUUGGGAUAACUUCAGGAAACUGGGGCUAAUACCGGAUAGGUGCUCCUGCUGCAUGGUGGGCGUUGGAAAGUUUCGGCGGUUGGGGAUGGACUCGCGGCUUAUCAGCUUGUUGGUGGGGUAGUGGCUUACGAAGGCUUUGACGGGUAGCCGGCCUGAGAGGGUGACCGGUCACAUUGGGACUGCGAUAGGGACCAGACUCCUACGGGAGGCAGAGGUGGGGAAUAUUGCACAAUGAGCGGAAGCGUGAUGCAGCAGCGCCGCGUGCGGGAUGACGGCCUUCGGGUUGUGAACCGCUUUCGCCUGUUACGAGGCGUGAGUGACGGUAAUGGGUAAAGAAGCACCGGCUAACUACGUG
rnacentral:rRNA from 1 species